GGGGCCAUAGCUCAGUUGGGAGAGCGCUACAAUGGCAUUGUAGAGGUCGCCGGUUCGAUCCCGGCUGGCUCCACCA
rnacentral:tRNA from 1 species